ACAGUUUGAUCAGUAAGAGCAUGAGGCUCUUGAUCUCAGGGUCGUGGGUUCGAAACCCACGUUAGGCA